UACGGAGGGAGCUAGCGUUGUUCGGAAUUACUGGGCGUAAAGCGCGCGUAGGCGGCUUUGUAAGUUAGAGGUGAAAGCCCGGGGCUCAACCCCGGAAUUGCCCUUAAGACUGCAUCGCUUGAAUCCGGAAGAGGUGAGUGGAAUUCCGAGUGUAGAGGUGAAAUUCGUAGAUAUUCGGAAGAACACCAGUGGCGAAGGCGGCUCACUGGACCGGCAUUGACGCUGAGGUGCGAAAGCGUGGGGAGCAAACAGG
rnacentral:rRNA from 1 species